rnacentral:rRNA from 1 species
AGAGUUUGAUCCUGGCUCGGGAUGAACGCUGGCGGCGUGCCUAACACAUGCAAGUCGAGCGAUUUACUUCGGUAAAGAGCGGCGGACGGGUGAGUAACGCGUGGGUAACCUGCCCUGUACACACGGAUAACAUACCGAAAGGUAUGCUAAUACGAGAUAAUAUGCUUUUAUCGCAUGGUAGAAGUAUCAAAGCUUUUGCGGUACAGGAUGGACCCGCGUCUGAUUAGCUAGUUGGUAAGGUAACGGCUUACCAAGGUGACGAUCAGUAGCCGACCUGAGAGGGUGAUCGGCCACAUUGGAACUGAGACACGGUCCAAACUCCUACGGGAGGCAGCAGUGGGGAAUAUUGCACAAUGGGCGAAAGCCUGAUGCAGCAACGCCGCGUGAGCGAUGAAGGCCUUCGGGUCGUAAAGCUCUGUCCUCAAGGAAGAUAAUGACGGUACUUGAGGAGGAAGCCCCGGCUAACUACGUGCCAGCAGCCGCGGUAAUACGUAGGGGGCUAGCGUUAUCCGGAAUUACUGGGCGUAAAGGGUGCGUAGGUGGUUUCUUAAGUCAGAGGUGAAAGGCUACGGCUCAACCGUAGUAAGCCUUUGAAACUGGGAAACUUGAGUGCAGGAGAGGAGAGUGGAAUUCCUAGUGUAGCGGUGAAAUGCGUAGAUAUUAGGAGGAACACCAGUUGCGAAGGCGGCUCUCUGGACUGUAACUGACACUGAGGCACGAAAGCGUGGGGAGCAAACAGGAUAGAUACCCUGUUAGUCACGCCGUAACGAUGAUACUA